rnacentral:rRNA from 1 species
AUUGAACGCUGGCGGCAGGCUUAACACAUGCAAGUCGAGCGGAGAUGAGGUGCUUGCACCUUAUCUUAGCGGCGGACGGGUGAGUAAUGCUUAGGAAUCUGCCAUUUAGUGGGGGACAACAUUCCGAAAGGAAUGCUAAUACCGCAUACGUCCUACGGGAGAAAGCAGGGGAUCUUCGGACCUUGCGCUAAAUGAUGAGCCUAAGUCGGAUUAGCUAGGUGGUGGGGUAAAGGCCUACCAAGGCGACGAUCUGUAGCGGGUCUGAGAGGAUGGGCCGCCACACUGGGACUGAGACACGGCCCAGACUCCUACGGGAGGCAGCAGUGGGGAAUAUUGGACAAUGGGCGGAAGCCUGAUCCAGCCAUGCCGCGUGUGUGAAGAAGGCCUUUUGGUUGUAAAGCACUUUAAGCGAGGAGGAGGCUACUAGUACUAAUACUACUGGGUAGUGGACGUUACUCGCAGAAUAAGCACCGGCUAACUCUGUGCCAGCAGCCGCCGUAAAAC